GAGUGUUAGGCUUACUUACCUCUUCCAUCCUAGCCCUUCAAACUUCACUCGAUGAACUUAUUGAACUUGUUUAACAUAUUAAAAUUAUAAUUAAUUUUUAUUCGAUAAAUUCAAUCAUAAGGAAAGCAGACUGUAGAUUGAAUGGUCGGUCCAACGGGCAGUCUGGGCAUCAAGGUGAUUUAGGAUCUUCUAGCCGAGAGUCAGAUCUAAGCAACUCGAUUAAGAAAUCAUAAAACAUAGAUUGGAUCAAGACUAAGAUCGGUCAACAGGAUUCAGUAAUAGUAGGUUUCAAAGAUACUAGACAUAGUCGGAACAAUCAGUUCGACAAGCUGCAUGGAUAUCAAAGUGAUUUCAGGUCAUCUUGUUUUCAUCUCAACUUCAUACUGGGGUUUAUGGAUCAGAUAGAGAAAGAUAGAAAGAUGGUAUAGAGAGAGAAAAAUCCGAAAGAGAGAA
rnacentral:lncRNA from 1 species